rnacentral:rRNA from 1 species
GGUUAAGUUAGAAAGGGCGCACGGUGGAUGCCUUGGCACUAGGAGCCGAAGAAGGACGGGACUAACACCGAUAUGCUUUGGGGAGCUGUACGUAAGCGUUGAUCCAGAGAUUUCCGAAUGGGGGAACCCACUAUCUUUAGUCGGAUAGUAUCCUUACGUGAAUACAUAGCGUGA